rnacentral:rRNA from 1 species
GACAGAGGGUGCAAACGUUGUUCGGAAUUACUGGGCGUAAAGCGUGUGUAGGCGGCCUCGCAAGUCGGAUGUGAAAGCCCCGGGCUCAACCCGGGAAGUGCACUCGAUACUGCUUGGCUAGAGUCUCGGAGAGGUUGGUGGAAUUCUCGGUGUAGAGGUGAAAUUCGUAGAUAUCGAGAGGAACACCGGUGGCGAAGGCGGCCAACCGGACGAAGACUGACGCUGAGACACGAAAGCGUGGGGAGCAAACAGG